AUGGGUUGCUGCCGUCAUGCGGGGCCCACAGCUACUUCAGUGGGCGGUAAACCCAGUCGGAGCUGGCCGGUUCUUCAGGCCACAGGUUGGAGGCCUCUGCCUGGCCUGCCGCUGGGCUCGUGCUGGUGCCANUGGAGUGGAAACGCGUCAUUCCCAUUGCGGACGAUUGGUCAAUGUCCCGCGAUUUCCGACGGUCUCGCGGUUCAUACUCCAGCUGUUCUUCCGGGGCGCCUCCGAUGGUUCCACGGCGCCGGAAAAGUCUGUCAGGACUGGCUGACCGGCUCCCCGGGGGCGUCUGCGGGUGGACUGGAUAGAUGUAGACUUUGGUGGGCCUGCGGGAGCGCUGCGUGAUCCCCGGGUAUUCCAUGUCGUGACCCAUUCCGUGGGGGUGAUAGGGGAUCUCUCCCAUCUGCGACCGNGGAAACAGCUCGGGAGCGCCCCCUAAAGCGGUCCGGCGUUCACCGUGGUGGGCAACCAUCAUGGGGUCAGAGCUGCCCACUGCCACNUCUCGGUACCGGGUGGUGGCGUACGCAGAAGGGGCCGAGGAGGUGCGCGGUCGGUGCCUGCCUUCNCAUUCGCAGCUGCAAUAAUGUGGGGCCUGGUUCGGUGGGAAGUCGGGGUACGGCGAGCGCCCGGCGCGCUGGUGCUCCCUGCACACGAAAUCCUCGUUGUUGCGGACAUUCAUUGUGACCUUUACCGGUUCGAGGGUGCAGCGGAGGCAGCGUCGUCGCGGUGAACUGCUUUCGUGGCGUUGCCGGCGAGGGACUUCCUGAUCUGACCAUUGUACGGACGGCUUUCGGCCAAAGGCUUUCUUUGACCGUUGAGGAGCCAUCUUCACCUUUGUCGGUUCUGAUGAGAGAAAACAAAAACAGCGCAAAGAACAUCUGCUGGUCAUGCUUUCUAAGGCGAACGUUGUUGGCCACAAACUCGGUUUCAGAGCAGUUCUGAAUGUUUCUGGUGCAGAUGGAACCCUUGUGAUGGUUGGAAAUAACUUGGUCUAGGUCAGAACCACUAGUCUUGGUUCCUGUUGCUUUAGGGACAGCUCAAAGGGUUGCACAGGAAGCNGUGGGAGGAAGCAGCCACCAGCCCAGGCACCGUCUCCGUACAGCUUCUCGGACUGUGGUUCUCCAGAUGUUCCUGAAGAACAACUCGCAGCAUUCUGCUCCCUGUGGGGCUGCCACGGAAUGUUGCACAUUGUUCUUCAGGAACAUCUGGAGGACCACAAGCUCAGAACCACUGCACUAGGACCAUCACUUUGUUGCCUGAGGCUGCCNGGGUCACCAUACCAAGAGCUUCCUGGUCUCUGUGAAAAAUGAAGGCCUCAGGCCUCCAUCUUGCCUUCUGCCGGAGAGAAUCUCUCGUGCGCUCCCUUCAGAGGCAAACCCCUUCUGCUUUCUUCUGCAGUUUGUGAUCAUCUUUAGCUUGAUUCUUAAACNAUAACCCUAUGCAGGGUUGCCUAAUUAUCUACUGCUUUUCUCCCAAUUUUUACUGUUUUAACAAAUCACGGUUUGUUUUCCUUUUGUAGUUUGAAUAAAGCAUGUUGCGUUGUUGUUUCCCCUGCGUUC
ensembl:lncRNA